GAUGAAGAACGUAGCGAAAUGCGAUACUUGGUGUGAAUUGCAAAAUCCCGUGAACCAUCGAGUCUUUGAACGCAAGUUGCGCCCGAAGCCAUUAGGCCGAGGGCACGCCUGCCUGGGCGUCACACGUCGUUGCCCCCCCAUCUACUCCUUCGGGAUUGCGGGGGGCGGAUGAUGGCCUCCCGUGCGCCUCGUCGCGCGGUUGGCAUAAAUGCCAAGUCCUCGGCGACGCACGCCACGACAAUCGGUGGUUGCGAAACCUCGGUUGCCCGUCGUGUGCGGUCGUCGCGCAUCGAGGGCUCGAAAAAAUUGCCGGGCUCCGGCUCGGCUUUCAACGCGACCCCAGGUCAGGCGGGGUUACCCGCUGAAUUUAAGCAUAUCAAUAAGCGGAGGA
rnacentral:misc_RNA from 1 species